UCCUCUUCCUCCUCCUCUUCCUCUUCCUCUUCUCUGGCUUAAAAUAAACCAAAAUUGGAAUCUUUCCUGAGGGGUGAUUGGAAAAUGGAAAGGGACCAGGUGAAGCAAGUUUCUUUUUGACUUUUCUUCUUGCCUUUGCAGCAACCUUUUCUGACUGUUUUCUUCUUUUUUACAGUGCCACCUAUAAACAGAACAUUAAAUGGAAAGGAAUGCAAAGGUUGCUUUGGUUUGCA
rnacentral:miRNA from 11 species